rnacentral:rRNA from 1 species
UACGUAGGGGGCAAGCGUUGUCCGGAAUCAUUGGGCGUAAAGAGCGUGUAGGCGGCCAGAAAAGUCCGCUGUGAAAACUCGAGGCUCAACUUCGAGCUGUCGGUGGAAACUGUCUGGCUAGAGUCCGGAAGAGGAGAAUGGAAUUCCUGGUGUAGCGGUGAAAUGCGCAGAUAUCAGGAAGAACACCCGUGGCGAAGGCGGUUCUCUGGGACGGUACUGACGCUGAGACGCGAAAGCGUGGGGAGCGAACAGG